UACGGGGGGGGCAAGCGUUGUUCGGAAUUACUGGGCGUAAAGGGCUCGUAGGCGGCCAACUAAGUCAGACGUGAAAUCCCUCGGCUUAACCGGGGAACUGCGUCUGAUACUGGAUGGCUUGAGUUUGGGAGAGGGAUGCGGAAUUCCAGGUGUAGCGGUGAAAUGCGUAGAUAUCUGGAGGAACACCGGUGGCGAAGGCGGCAUCCUGGACCAACACUGAUGCUGAGUGAGCGAAAGCCAGGGGAGCAAACGGG
rnacentral:rRNA from 1 species